rnacentral:rRNA from 1 species
GAUUUCUGAUCUGUCAACAUUUAGCCGGCCACGGUUUCGUGUGUUAGUGUUAGAUGUUCUGAUCAUCCUUCCAAUUGCUGCACGCUUGAUCUUCAUUGAUUUUGUGUUGUAGUAUUGGAUCUUUUACUUUGAAAAAAUUAGAGUGUUUCAAGCAGGCUUUAUGCUAUGAAUACAUUAGCAUGGAAUAAUAAUUUAGGACUUCGGUUCUAUUUUGUUGGUUUCUAGGACUGAAGUAAUGAUUGAUAGGGACAGUUGGGGGUGCUAGUAUUCAGCGGCCAGAGGUGAAAUUCUCGGAUUCGCUGAAGACUAACUUAUGCGAAAGCAUU